UCGGCUUAGAGUUUGAUCAUGGCUCAGGACGAACGCUGGCGGCGUGCCUAAUACAUGCAAGUCGAACGAAUUGGUGCUUGCAUCAUUGAGUGGCGAACUGGUGAGUAACACGUGGGAAACCUGCCCAGAAGUGGGGGAUAACACCUGGAAACAGAUGCUAAUACCGCAUAACAACUUACCGCAUGGUCGAGUUUGAAAGAUGUUCGUAUCACUUUUGGAUGGUCCCGCGGCGUAUUAGCUAGAUGGUGAGGUAACGGCUCACCAUGGCAAUGAUACGUAGCCGACCUGAGAGGGUAAUCGGCCACAUUGGGACUGAGACACGGCCCAAACUCCUACGGGAGGCAGCAGUAGGGAAUCUUCCACAAUGGACGAAAGUCUGAUGGAGCAACGCCGCGUGAGUGAAGAAGGGUUUCGGCUCGUAAAACUCUGUUGUUAAAGAAGAACAUAUCUGAGGUAAUUCAGGUAUUGAUGGUAUUUAACCAGAAAGCCACGGCUAACUACGUGCCAGCAGCCGCGGUAAUACGUAGGUGGCAAGCGUUGUCCGGAUUUAUUGGGCGUAAGCGAGCGCAGCGGUUUUUUAAGUCUGAUGUGAAAGCCUUCGGCUCAACCGAAGAAGUGCAUCGGAACUGGGAAACUUGAGUGCAGAAGAGGACAGUGGAACUCCAUGUGUAGCGUGAAAUGCGU
rnacentral:rRNA from 1 species